GUGAAAAAUAACAUAUAAGGGAAAAUAUUUUAUUUUUAAAAAUUCACUCUUGGGAUCUGAAAUCCUGGUGGGGAUCCCGGAAGCCUGGCUCCCCACUGUAAAUCCAGGUCAAUAGCACUGCUGGCCUCGGUUUCUGGAAGUCGACUGCAGGGAGGUCCACAAGUGGGGGAAAAAUAGAUUUUAAAAAACUCCAUUUUCAUUUUAUCUUUUCAUA
ensembl:snoRNA